GGAGGUAUUGCUCAGUGGUAGAGCGUGUGCUUAGCAUGCACGGGAUUCUGGGUUCAAUCCCCAGUACCUCCA
rnacentral:tRNA from 1 species